CAACUCCCUGUUUGCUGUUUUCAUGGACCUUGGACAUGACAUCUUAUUCUUCCUUCUGGAAAAGAAUGAAGUUGGCAAAAGUUUUGGACCCCAGAAUACUUCUAGAAGCUGACCCCAUUUAAUUAAAGGAUUUUUAAACAUUCCUUAGGAGACUAGAACUGAAAAAAAAAAAUUUGAAUGGAGUACAAGAAUCUGGAGAAACAUAAGAAGAUCCAAGAGAGCAAACCCAACUUACCUAAACUAUAAUCCCGUGCUUCUACUAGCACAAUAUCUAUACAGUAUGGAGUACAGAAUACAGACUGUCCCCCCACCCCCCCAAAAAAAUCAAUGAAGGCUCUACAUUAUUUUAUCAAACCUAUAUCCAAAGAUUUUAAUAUAAUCAACUGUAUUCUUAAUCAGGAGAUAUAGGAUUCCAAAACAGCCUUCAGCUCUGCUCUUACCCUUGUCUAUAUAAAUUCAACAUGUCAUUUGUGUGUGCUGAAGACAAAUUGAACUAGAUAAUGGAAAUAUACUUCUCAGCAGUAAGGACUUCGUCCCUUAGGUACAUGCGUUGUCUUUAGCCUUGUAUUUUCAUCAGUUAAAUUUGAUAGCCUUAUGAUAACAUGUAACUUAAAAUGAUUAAUUGUUUAUAUUUAAUAUUUAUAGCAACUCUUUGCAGUG